rnacentral:rRNA from 1 species
CAGCCGCCGCGGGAAUACGGAGGGUGCAAGCGUUAAUCGGAAUUACUGGGCGUAAAGCGUGCGUAGGCGGCUUCUUAAGUCGGAUGUGAAAUCCCUGAGCUUAACUUAGGAAUUGCAUUCGAUACUGGGAAGCUAGAGUAUGGGAGAGGAUGGUAGAAUUCCAGGUGUAGCGGUGAAAUGCGUAGAGAUCUGGAGGAAUACCGAUGGCGAAGGCAGCCAUCUGGCCUAAUACUGACGCUGAGGUACGAAAGCAUGGGGAGCAAACAGGAUUAGAUACCCCGGUAGUCCCUGUCUCUUAUAC